rnacentral:rRNA from 1 species
ACGGAAGGCAGCAGUAGGGAAUCUUCGGCAAUGGGGGCAACCCUGACCGAGCAACGCCGCGUGAGUGAAGAAGGUUUUCGGAUCGUAAAGCUCUGUUGUAAGAGGAGAACGUGUGUGAGAGUGGAAAGUUCACACAGUGACGGUAACUUACCAGAAAGGGACGGCUAACUACGGGCCAGCAGCCGCGGUAAUACGUAGGUCCCGAGCGUUGUCCGGAUUUAUUGGGCGUAAAGCGAGCGCAGGCGGUUUAAUUAGUCUGAAGUUAAAGGCAGUUGCUUAACCAUUGUUCGCUUUUGAAACUGUUUGACUUGAGUGCCGAAGGGGAGGGUGGAAUUCCAUGUGUAGCGGUGAAAUGCGUAGAUAUAUGGAGGAACACCGGUGGCGAAAGCGGCUCUCUGGUCUGUAACUGACGCUGAGGCUCGAAAGCGUGGGGAGCAAACAGGAUUAGAUACCCUGGUA